CCGACUUAUUGGGACUUUAACUCAUUCACUGUAUCCCCCAGAGUUAGAUAAGUUCAUAAAUAUCCCUUCUCAUCUUCAUGCGUGUUGUGACUCUGUCUGAUGCACCCACCGCUAGACUAGCUUAGCACAGAUGCUGGAGGUAACUGGUUCCAACUAGUCUAGCUUAGCACCGAUGCUGGAGGUAACUGUUUCCAACUAGUCUAGCUUAGCACUGAUGCUGGAGGUAACUGGUUCCAACUAGUCUAGCUUAGCACCGAUGCUGGAGGUAACUGUUUCCAACUAGUCUAGCUUAGCACAGAUGCUGGAGGUAACUGGUUCCAACUAGCCUGCUGCUCCCAGGAAGUGGCAACAUAAUGCCAACAUGUUCCUGUUUACAUGUUGGGAUUUGUAUAGUCACAGCGGGGACAAAUAACAAGGUCACAUGACACACAGCCAUCUUCUAACCGCA